GUGUUUAUUUUCUACAUGGUGUUAAUGCUGUGAGGUCAUCAACGGGAGCCAUGCUUUUACUCCUCGGUUUGCUCAGAGCCUGAUGAGUAGAGGUAUGUGUUAUGUACGCUCCACUCUUUUUAAUGCACAUGUAAGCAAAUGUCCAAAAAAAGACAACCGAAAAUUAUAUCGUCAUUGAUUUAGUGUUGCGCUACAGUUUUUAGGAAUAUAUAUUAGUGUGAAUGGGGAUAAUGUUUGACUGCAACUUUGCAAGGUUUGCCCAGCCACCGUUACCUUUGCGGGUCUCUCAGGUGCAGACAGCGUGAGUUUUCUGACAGGAAUUCAGCACUCUUUUGUCUUUUAUCAGGCUAAUAUAGUUGUGUAUGGCAGUCCAGACGGCAGCAUCAAGCUUGGCUUUGUAUUUGUAUCCAUUCCAUGCAGUCACUAAAAGAGAGAGAACCGGCAGAAUUGUGUCCAGAGACUUGUCUUCCAACUACACCUCACCAGAACACAACGCAGAAAGGCCUCAGGAGAGCUUCCGUCUUCAGGGGCGGUGGGACUGGAUGGCCCAGACCUGGGUGCGUCAGCAGGUUCCCCUGACAGAGGUGCCGUUGAGCUGGAAGACGGGGGCGCUCAUAGGAGUGACAUGAGGGAUGUGCUGCAGGUGGCCACUGUAGGAGAGCAGGGGCUUCCUGUUCUUUCCCUCCACUGCUGCCUGCGCACGGUCCUCGUUCCACCUCAUCAGUCCAUCCAACAGGAAUGCCUGGAAAUGCAUUGCAAUUGCUCUGGUACCUGAGAGAACAAUGCACGAUUAGGGUGGGAGAGCUGUUGCUGUUAACGUUAAGCAAACCUCUUAAAGCUACCCCUCCACUUUUUCCAAUUUCUGCCUGAAGACAUACCCAAAUCUAACUGCCUGUAGCUCUGGCCCAGAAGCAAGGACAUGCAUAUUCUUGGUACCAUUUGAAAGGAAACACUCUGAAUUUUGUGUAAAUGUGAAUUGAAUGUAGGAGAAUUGAACACCGUAGAUCUGGUAGAAGAAAAUUCAAGGAAAUAAACAUUUGUUUUCUGUUUUUAUUGUUUCUGCAUCAUCUUUCAACUGAACAAGAACAUCCAAACAUACAGAUAGGAUGCCGG
ensembl:lncRNA